AGAGAGAGACAUGCGCGCAUAUCAAUAAGCGGAGGAAAAGAAACUAACUAGGAUUCCCUCAGUAACGGCGAGUGAAGCGGGAAGAGCUCAAAUUUGAAAUCUUCAAGGGUUCUACCUUUACGAAUUGUAGUUUAAAGAAGUGUUUUCUGUUGAGGUUUUGGUAAAAGUUCUUUGGAAUAGGACAUCAUAGAGGGUGAGAAUCCCGUAUUUGACCAUUAUUUCCAGCUUUGUGAUACACUUUCAAAGAGUCGGAUUGUUUGGGAAUGCAGUCCAAAAUGGGUGGUAAAUUUCAUCUAAAGCUAAAUACUGGCGAGAGACCGAUAGCGAACAAGUACCGUGAGGGAAAGAUGAAAAGAACUUUGAAAAGAGAGUUAAACAGUACGUGAAAUUGUCAAAAGGGAAGCGUUUGACACCAGUGUUGUUUUCUCGAAAAUCAAUUAAAAAAGGCAGGAUUUUGUGUUGUAUUGACUUUAUCAGCUUUCUGUACUCUUUUCUUGUCUUUUUUAAUGCACUUUUCGUUUAACAAGUCAACAUCAAUUUCUUUUGUUGUAAAAGGGUCAUUGGAAGGUGGCUUUCUUUUCGGAGAAAGUGUUUAUAGCCUUUGGCCUCUGCAAUCGGAGAGAUUGAGGUCUGCAGCGUAGAUCCUUCGGGGUUAGAUACAUUUGUGCUAAGUUAUAGCAUUUUAUAGACAACUUGUUGACUAUGAUUUGUCUUGUAGCUUACUCGCUUAUGUUAUUUUACCUACGCUUAGGAUGUUGAUGUGAUACUGCGAGCA
rnacentral:rRNA from 1 species